rnacentral:rRNA from 1 species
GACGGAGGAUGCAAGCGUUAUCCGGAAUGAUUGGGCGUAAAGCGUCCGCAGGUGGCAGUUCAAGUCUGCUGUCAAAGACCGGGGCUUAACUUCGGAAAGGCAGUGGAAACUGAACAGCUAGAGUAUGGUAGGGGCAGAGGGAAUUCUCGGUGUAGCAGUGAAAUGCGUAGAUAUCGAGAAGAACGCUCGUGGCGAAGGCGAAGUCCUGGGCAGAUUCUGACGCUGAGGCACGAAGGCCAGGGGAGCAAACGGG